rnacentral:tRNA from 1 species
CGCGGCCCUUGCCGGUGCGGUGGUGCGGAUCAGCGUUUCGCGGCCGCCUUGCGCGCCGGGGCGGCCCCGGCGGUGCGGCUGUUGCCGGCGGCGGCC